CCUACGGGCGGCAGCAGUCGAGAAUCAUUCACAACGGGGGAAACCCUGAUGGUGCGACGCCGCGUGGGGGAAUGAAGGUCUUCGGAUUGUAAACCCCUGUCAUGUGGGAGCAAAUUAAAAAGAUAGUACCACACGAGGAAGAGACGGCUAACUCUGUGCCAGCAGCCGCGGUAAUACAGAGGUCUCAAGCGUUGUUCGGAAUCACUGGGCGUAAAGCGUGCGUAGGCUGUUUCGUAAGUCGUGUGUGAAAGGCGCGGGCUCAACCCGCGGACGGCACAUGAUACUGCGAGACUAGAGUAAUGGAGGGGGAACCGGAAUUCUCGGUGUAGCAGUGAAAUGCGUAGAUAUCGAGAGGAACACUCGUGGCGAAGGCGGGUUCCUGGACAUUAACUGACGCUGAGGCACGAAGGCCAGGGGAGCGAAAGGGAUUAGAUACCCGAGUAGUC
rnacentral:rRNA from 1 species